UAUGCCUACGGGACGCAGCAGUGAGGAAUAUUGGUCAAUGGGCGAGAGCCUGAACCAGCCAAGUCGCGUGAAGGAUGACGGCCCUACGGGUUGUAAACUUCUUUUGUCAGGGAGCAAUUGGGUCCACGCGUGGGCUUAGCGAGAGUACCUGAAGAAAAAGCAUCGGCUAACUCCGUGCCAGCAGCCGCGGUAAUCCGGAGGAUGCGAGCGUUCUCCGGAUUUAUUGGGUUUAAAGGAUGCGUAGGCGGAAUAUCAAGUCAGCGGUAAAAAUUCGGGGCUCAACCCCGUCGUGCCGUUGAAUCUGA
rnacentral:rRNA from 1 species